rfam:Ovis aries breed Texel chromosome 2, whole genome shotgun sequence.
UCCCUGGUAGCUCAGCUGUUGAAGAAUCUGCCUGCAAUGCAGGAGACCCUGGUUCAAUUCCUGGUCGGGAAG